ACGUACUCUCUCUCUCUCUCUCUCUCUCUCUCUCUCUCUCUCUCUCUCUCUCAUAUAUAUAUAUAUAUAAGAGAGAGAGAGAGAGAGAGAGAGAGAGAGAGAGAGAGAGGCCCCAGAAUA
rnacentral:miRNA from 1 species